UUCCAUAAGGGGAAGAUCUGUCGAAUGACUGUCAUCCGUCCCAGAGCACUGUGGACCAGCUCCAGGAUCUCUGCAUCACUGAUCUCCUACAAACGCAGGAUGAAACCAGGCCACCCAGAGGAAACCCGCAGCACACGGGCGAAACCCGCAAACGUCAUACACAGAAUUCAGGGAGGAUUUCUACCCCCAGCCCAGGAGGAAUGCUGCAACAGUAAUCUCCACUGAGCCACCCCCACUACCUUCAUACUGUCACCAAAAAGAUGGAACUGGACCACCCAGAGGAAAACCGCCCCAACAUGGGCAAAACCUGAAAAAGUCACACACAGAGUGGAGGGAAGAUUUGCACCCCCAGCUCAGGAGGAGUGAUGCAACAGUAAACUCCUAUGAGCCACUGUGCCCCCAUCGGAACUUUCAUGUUGUUACCAAAAUGCCCUGAUGAUCAUUUUAAUUUGAUAUACUGAAUAUUCUGCUUGCAUUACUGGUUUUACUUAGCUUCAAGUUCAUUUUGAUGGUACAUGAUCC